UAGUAACUUAUUUUUAUGUAGCUACAAUUGUGCAUAUGAGACAUCUGCUCAUUUGCUGAUCUCAUUGUGCCUUUCCUCUCAUUCUUUGUUAACUUUUUAGUUACUUAGCUCAGGGAAAGAGAAGCGUGCCUCAACUUUGAAAGAAUCAGGGUCAGAGGUAGCCUUAGGAAUGGAGGUCUUCAAACUAAUUUGAAGAUGGAACCUGAUGUGUCUGUGAGAGCAACAACCAGGAAGACUUGCUGU
rnacentral:lncRNA from 1 species